AUUGAACGCUGGCGGCAGGCCUAACACAUGCAAGUCGAGCGGAGCGGCGGACGGGUGAGUAAUGCCUAGGAAUCUGCAUGGUAGUGGGGGAUAAUGUACGGAAACGGGCGCUAAUACCGCAUACUAUCAGAUGAGCCUAGGUCGGAUUAGCUAGUUGGUGGGGUAAAGGCCUACCAAGGCGACGAUCCGAAACUGGUCUGCGAGGAGGUUCAGUCACACUGGAACUGAGACACGGUCCAGAUUCCGACGGGAGGCAGCAGUGGGGAAUAUUGGACAAUGGGCGAGAGCCUGAACCAGCCAUGCCGCGUGUGUGAAGAAGGUCUUCGGAUUGUAAAGCUCUUUAAGUUGGGAAGCGUUACCAACAGAAUAAGCACCGGCUAACUUCGUGCCAGCAGCCGCGGUAAUUC
rnacentral:rRNA from 1 species